AAGCUAUUUUCUUUUAACAAGAAUUCUUAUAUUUCUCCCUGUGUUUGAGAUGAACAUUUUUAAAUUUUAAAGUUGUACAGUUUUUUGUUUUCCAUUAUUUUAUCUUGUUUGUAACUCUAUGAAAUAUAUAUAUAUUUUUUUGCCAUUUAACUGUUGUAUGUUACUCCGUGUCUGUAUCAUAUAGAAAAAAAUUGGUUUGUUUUGUUUUGUUUUUGGUUCUCUAUGUGAUACCAAUUAACAAUUUAACACUAGUUUUAUCUGUCAAAUUCUGCUAGGUCUUUUCUGAAAACUUUGUUUUUAAAAAUGAUAUUGCUUGGUAAUAGUGCAAUUUCUAUCCCUUUCCCUCCCCCCUCAACUUUAAGUUCAUUUCCUUGUAAUUAAUUUUGCCAUCCCCUCCCCAAUGGUUUUUUUCUUUUCUUUUUUUUGAGCUACUAUGCCGUCCUCCCUCUGUGAGGCAGAGUGACUGUCAGUGUUUUGUUUUGCCAUGCCUUGACCUGUGGGUGUGUUUGGCAACAGCAAGGUGGUUGGGUAGAUUGUCUAAGCAUGCUUCCCCCCACCAGUGUUCCUCAGAGGGGUUAUGCGAUUGUUUCAACCUGGAGUGGGUUGCACACUUAAUGGUUUCCUCUACAACUCUACAGCCCACAUAAAUGUUCAUUCAAAAAAGAAAAAAUGGUUCUCAGCAUUAACCCAGAAGUAGCAAAGCAGUCAGUGAUUGUGAAAAUUUGAGGUCAAACAUGAGCUAGUUAGAUGUUUGUGGGCUGACAUCCACCAUGGCUGUGACCCAUAUCAUUUACAAAGCAUGAAUUCACUGCAAUGCUCAACUGUUUAGAUUGGUCUCACUUGGAGAAUUUACUCCUGUCUGCUGCAUACUAGGUAGCUGAAAGGAUAUUUCAACUCACUUUUUAAAAUAGUUCUUCACCUCCAUUGACACUUCAUAUUUUGGUUUUUUUUUUUUUUUUCAAAUACUCCACAGUGUGGGUUGGUGCUAGACACCAUUCAAUCAGAGCACCAAAUAGACCCACAGAAUGGGAGUUAUUUCAUCCAUCCUUCCAAAAAGACACUUAAGAAGGAAACACACACGCACACACACACACACACACACGGAAAAGUUUAAUAAAUCUAGGAAGCUUUUUUUUUUAAUUAAAACUAUUUAAAGAGAUGAAUGUGGCCAAAGUUUUACACAAUUGAAAAUAAAGUAAAACAGACGGCAUGUGUUUAAACCUGAGUUUAUCAGGCAUGGCAGGAAGUUGCAGGAGAGAGAGGCAGUGACCCAAGCCAGUGCACUUGAUGUUCAUGGACAUAUAUUUUUUUUAAAUAAUAAAUUAAAUUAAAACAUUUUAAAUAGAAACAUAAAUUGAGUUGGUUGUUUGUUGGCGCUGAGAUACUGCCCACUGUGAAACAAAGCUUUGACUAUUUUUUUUUGUUUGUUUACUUUCUUCGGGAGGGAGGGGGGCAAGUUUGGGUAGGAAAGAAAGCAUAAAUGAACGUGACCCUGAGGUGAAGAGGUAUAUGAACAGCCUUUGCAAUGUACAAAAAAAUAAAAAAUAAAAAACAAAAAAAAAAUAGAGCAAGUGAAACCAAAAAUGAUGUUCUUGGUGUUUUUCUAUAAUGUAGUCUUGUUAGCUUUUUUGUUACUGUAACAAUGCUGAUCUCGAACUGUACCAAAAUACAUGGAGACUAACAAACAGAACCACAUGGAACUUUCAAACUGAAAAGAAAUUUGUCACAAAAACUUUGUUGUCAUAGUUAAGUUGAUUGUAGAUGGUAAUUGAAUAUACUCCUUUGAAAAUAUUUCAUCAAGUAUGUUUCCUGCUCAUUGUGAUACAUUAAAAAAAAAUAUGAGCAAAA
ensembl:lncRNA